rnacentral:lncRNA from 10 species
GGAUUAAUCUAAGCUUCUGCUGUGUAUGGACCUGUGGCUACAUUACAAAAUUCAGUUGUGAAGCUAUAAAAUCAAUUAGUCUAGACCUCAAAUCUUAUUUCCUAUGAAAAGCCUCAAACUUGUAGCUGUAUGAACAAGUGUUUUUGGAAUUUUUUUUUUUUUGCUAGAAUGGAGAGAACACACUGGAGAUCACAAAUGCAUUUAUUCUUUUUCACCAACUGUUUCAUUGGCCUUAAAAAAUACUAGGCUAAACUUAAGUGGUAAAGAUCUGAAAUAAAAAGAUGCAUCUUUAUGUCUGAACAGCAAUUUUUCAUAGGUCUCUAAUAACUUGCAUUUCCUUAUCUAUGGAUAAGGAGAUCUGAAAUUGAUCUACAUUUUCUUUAGUAAUGUUUUCUCUGUUUAUUGAGAACAGAUAUCUUCAUCUCCUUCAUGCAUUAUCCUUAGUAACAGAUGUCAGUAGGAUCCAGAGCCAUUUUGGAACUUUACCAAGGAUUAAGGAUGAGCACAGAUCACAUCAAGAGUCUAAAUAUCACUUUGGAGGCCAUGUGCAGAUCAGAUUUGGAAGUGACCAAGACUGGAGGCAGGGACACCAGAGUUUUCUGUUAAAAACUGGUCCAUGCAAGAAAAGAUGACUCCUGAAAUAAGACAGUGAUCAUUAGGAUGAAGAGGAAGAGAAGAUUUGAGGAAUACUUAGAACAGAAUUUACUGAAUUUACUGGUUGAAUUGAAUGUGAAGAGGAGAUGAAUAAAGAAGAAAACACCCUCAAAGGGAACCCUGAGCAGAACACAUGCACAAACUCAUGCCAUACCCUAAGGGACAAGGUUCCCCACAUCUACUUGGAAAUCUUUGGGAUGCUCAAUGGAGAAAAACAAGGAGAGAAAAAUCUAAACCCAGCAGAAGAGAAAGUUUAAGAAAGCGGUCGUCGCCAAUACCAAAAUUAGCUAUGAUAUUCAGGAAGAAAAAAAUGGAAACACGAUAACCACAGUCAAUAAAGACCAAGGCCACAUUCCAUUGACCAGAGCUCAGCCACGCGCCACACCUGGCUAAAGAGACUCUGGCUGAAGAAUUCCCUGAAUAUUUUAAUGUAGCUCUAGGUUAUAACACAGAACAACCACAAGGUGGCAGAAGAACUCCAUUCUUGUAAAUCUCUUAGUUGCUUCUUUAUUUCAUCUUCCCUAUUCCAUCUAAUGUUCCCUGAAUUUUACUAUUUUGUUGGUUUGAAAAUAUGUGUGACUUACGUCCUUUAAAGGAUUUGGUUCGUAAGGUUUUGAAUAGACUGGAAUAUAAAACAUUUAUAGAAAAGAAAAAUACCUACAGUAUGAUGUUAGUGAACUAUUAAUAAUCCAAUUAAAUAAAAUAUAUUUGCUUUGGAUUAAUACA